rnacentral:rRNA from 1 species
AUGGCGGUCGUGACGGUGCGCGAGGUGCUGUACAUGUACAGCGCCGUGCGGCAGGCGUACGAGCGGCUCCUAUCCGUGUGCGGCAGCCCGGAGAAGGCCCAGAACGCGGUGGCGCUGCUGGUGUGGCUGGACCAGGGCACCAUCUCCGCCAUCCACUUCGUCCCAGCCAUCGGCUCCGACGCUGUUGCCGUUAUGGCGUGGGAGGCCAACGCCGUCCUCGAGUGGCUCCGCAACCAGGUGCCUGCGGUCCCGGCCAUCCCGCUCAUCUCUGCGCUCUGCAUGCAAGGCGGCGUCCGCAUCGACCCGGGCUUAUUCGCCUUCCACCAGGACCUCGUCGUCCGCGGCGUUGCCCACUUCCUCGACGGUGCGGGCAAGUUCGUUUUCAAUGACCGCCUGCACGUCCUGCUCUGGAAGUCUGAGACUGGGCUGGUGGGCAACCCGCCGGAGCUCAUGGCACCCUACACCCAGCCUGUGGCCGUGCCGGAGGACUGCCGUUCUAUGUUCAUCACCUUUUCCAAGGGCAUGCCCCCCCAUCGUGAGGAGAUCUUUGAGUACUUCAGAGAGAAGUGGGGUGACUGCGUGGUCAGGGUGCUCAUGGAGAAGACGAAGGGAGGCCUCAUGCCCAUGUACGGCCGGAUCAUCUUCAAGACGGAGGCGAUCGUGAAGCUAGUGCUCAAUGGCGAGAGGCUCGUCAAGAUCUCCAUCAGACAUCGUCAGAUCUGGCUCCGCAAGUACGUCCCCAGGCCAACCAACGCCACUGCCUGA